CGCCUCCUGCCCAAAAAUAGGAGGUCCAGCCUGCCCAGUGACUAUAGUUCAACGGCCGCGGUAUCCUAACCGCGCGAAGGUAGCGUAAUCACUUGUCUUUUAAAUAGGGACUUGUAUGAACGGCACCACGAGGGCCAAACUGUCUCCUUUUUUUAAUCAGUGAAACUAAUCUUCCCGUGAAGAAGCGGGAAUUCUUAUAUAAGACGAGAAGACCCUAUGGAGCUUUAAACUUUACAACACCUGCUUAUUUUUAACCCUUUCAGAAUCCUACCCCCCCAGCAUCCUGUUGAUUAGUUUUUGGUUGGGGCGACCUCGGAGCAUAACUCACCCUCCGAAAUGAAAAGCACCUCCCCUUUAGUAAUAAGCUACAGCUUUAAACAUCAGUAUAACUGACAUCUAUUGACCCAAACUUUGACCAACGAACCAAGUUACCCUAGGGAUAACAGCGCUAUCCACUUUGACAGCUCCUAUCGACAAGUGGGCUUACGACCUCGAUGUUGGAUCAGGGUAUCCUAGUGGUGCAGCCGCUACUAAGGGUUCGUUUGUUCAACGAUUAAAACCCU
rnacentral:rRNA from 1 species